rnacentral:rRNA from 1 species
UACAGAGGUCCCAAGCGUUGUUCGGAUUCACUGGGCGUAAAGGGUGCGUAGGCGGCGCGGUAAGUCGGGUGUGAAAUCUCGGAGCUUAACUCCGAAACUGCAUUCGAUACUGCCGUGCUUUGAGGACUGGAGAGGAGGCUGGAAUUUACGGUGUAGCGGUGAAAUGCGUAGAUAUCGUAAGGAAGACCAGUGGUGAAGGCGGGUCUCUGGACAGUUCCUGACGCUGAGGCACGAAGGUCAGGGGAGCAAACGGGG